GGAAUCGAUAAGCGCUGAAAGCAUCUAAGCGCGAAGCGAGCCCUGAGAUGAGUCUUCCCUGGCACUUUAAGUGUCCUAAAGGGUUGUUCGAGACUAGAACGUUGAUAGGCAGGGUGUGUAAGUGCUGUGAGGCAUUGAGCUAACCUGUACUAAUUGCCCGUGAGGCUUAACCAUACAACACCCAAGGGGUUU
rnacentral:rRNA from 1 species